CAAAGCCGCAUAUGGCUCAUUACAACAGCCAUAGUUUAUUAGAUUGUACUUUCCUACUUGGAUAACUGUGGUAAUUCUAGAGCUAAUACACGCAGCAAAGCUCGGACUCACGAACGAGCGCAUUUAUUAGAGCAAACCAAUCAGGUGAAAACCUGUCCUUUGGUGAAUCUGAAUAACUUUGCAGAUCGCACGGUCUCGCACCGGCGACAUAUCUUUCAAAUGUCUGCCUUAUCAACUUUCGAUGGUAGUUUAUACGCCUACCAUGGUUGUAACGGGUAACGGAGAAUAAGGGUUCGACUCCGGAGAGGGAGCCUGAGAAACGGCUACCACAUCCAAGGAAGGCAGCAGGCACGCAAAUUACCCACUCCCGGCACGGGGAGGUAGUGACGAAAAAUAACGAGGCGGUUCUCUAUGAGGCCCGCCAUCGGAAUGGGCACAAUUUAAAUCCUUUAACGAGGAUCUAUUGGAGGGCAAGUCUGGUGCCAGCAGCCGCGGUAAUUCCAGCUCCAAUAGCGUAUAUUAAAGUUGUUGCGGUUAAAAAGCUCGUAGUUGGAUCUGCGGUCAAGGGAAGUGGUCCUCCGACGGAUGUUACUGCUUUUCCUGACCUAAUACUUUGGUUUUCCCUUGAUGCUCUUAACCGAGUGUCUUGGGCGACCAAAACGUUUACUUUGAAAAAAUUAGAGUGCUCAAAGCAGGCGUUCAGCCUGAAUAGUGGUGCAUGGAAUAAUAAAAGAGGAUCUCGGUUCUAUUUUGUUGGUAUUGGAUUGAGAUAAUGAUCGACGGGGAUAGACGGGGGCAU
rnacentral:rRNA from 4 species